rnacentral:piRNA from 1 species
UCAGAUGCUUAGAGAUAGGUUUUUGACCCUU